rnacentral:lncRNA from 1 species
AUGGAGUCAGGGCCGUCUGGAGGCUCCAGGCCCGCGGAGCCGGGGCCUCGCUUGCGCGGCUUGCGCGGCGCGGACGCGGCGGCCUCGGCCUCCUCGCUGAGCCGCUUCGGGGCCGAAGCUGGGUGUCGCGCGCCGGCUGUGGCGGCUGUGUUGCCGGCGGGGGUAGCGGGGAGAGGAUGGGCGUCCCACCCCGAAGCAGUUCUGCCCCAUCCUGGAGAGGCCGCUCAUCAGCUACACCCUGCAGGCCCUGGAGAGAGUAUCUUGGAUAAAGGACAUUAUUGUGGCAGUAACUGGAGAGAACAUGGAAACAAUGAAGGAAUUAUUCAGAGGUACCAGCAUAAACGUAUCUCACUGGUUGAAGCUGGAGUGACCCGCCACAGGUCAAUUUUUAAUGGUCUGAAAGCCCUGGCAGAGGAUCAGCCCAACUGUAGACUCUCAAAGCCAGAAGUAGUGAUCAUCCACGAUGCUGUGAGACCAUUUGUUGAGGAAGAUGUCCUCCUUAACGUUGUCACAGCUGCUCAGGAACAUGGGGCCUCGGGAGCAAUCCGACCUCUUGUAUCUACUGUCAUCAGCCCGUCUGUAGACAGCUGCUUAGACCACUCACUGGAACGUGCCAGAUACAGGGCAAGUGAAAUGCCACAGGCCUUUCUAUUUGAUGUGAUCUAUGAAGCAUAUCAGCAGUGUAGUGACUAUGACUUGGAAUUUGGAACUGAGUGUUUGCAUUUGGCUCUAAAAUACAGUCAUAUCAAAGCAAAACUCGUGGAAGGAUCCCCUGACCUCUGGAAGGUGACCUACAAACGAGAUCUGUAUGCAGCUGAAUCGAUUAUUAAGGAAAGAAUUUCACAACAAGUUUGUGUAGUUAUGGACACAAAAGAAGAUGAAGAACAUGUAGGUCGUUGUCUUGAAGAAAUGCUAAAAACGGAAUUAAAUCAUAUAAAAGUCACAUCUGGCCAAGAUCUUCAGCAAAUCAUCGUAGAGCAAUGCUACAACUUUGUUUGUAUGAAUGUUAUGACCUCUGAUUUUGAAGAAACCCAGAGGUUACUGAAUAUGCUGGAAGAGAGUAAUCUUUCCAUUUUAUAUCCUGUUGUGGUUAUUUCAGUGCAUUUUCUGGAUUAUGAAUCAGUACCAUUUGGUCAGAAAAUGGAAAAGGUAAUGCAGAUUAGAGAGUUUGCCAAGGAAGCGAAAAAAGGAAAUAUUUUAUUAUUUGGCCUUCUCAUAUAUUUCCCACAGCUACGCAGUCCUCAUAUCACAUGCCACACUGCUUGGUCCUCACUGUCUCCACACUCCGAGGAUGGAGUCGACCUCUGCAACUGCCUGGAGGAACAGAAGCUACAAGAAAGUUUAAGGCAAGGCGCCACCAUUAUUGCUGCCUUAAUCAAAGAAAGAAAUUCUGGACUCAUUGGUCAACUACUGGUAGCAUAAAGAACAUGGAGGAAAUUACCUGCUGUGUUCUUAGAAACAUUCCCCUAAGUAUUUCUUUUGUGCUUUCCUCCGAAUUGUAUAUGGUAGAAUGUUGAAGUUGUCUUUUAUAAUUUGUAGGAUGUGAUGCUUAGGUGAACUUAAAAACAUUUUUAUGCGUGCCAAAUAUAAAUUCCCUAAAUUGGAAAAGAACAAACAAGUGGAAAAUAAUGGCCUUCACAUGAAGAAUCUUCUCACAAAGGCAUGAAAGGGUAAAAUAGAAAUAAUGAGUAGUCAGCUAAUUCUCCAAGGAAUGAAAGUUUAGAAAAUGUCAACUAUUAUCUCUAUGUUAAUUAGUGAAUCACUGUAUAAUGAGACUAAUAAUUAAGAUUAAUGAUUAUUUUUAAUUCUAACAGUAUCCUUUCUCUGUGGGUUAUUUGAAUUGCAUUCUGAUUUUUCAUACCGUGACAAAAAAGAGAUAGCAGUGAACUAUGAUCUGAGUAUCUUCACGAAUAGCCUCACAUUACCUUAGAUUCCUAAAGGAGAUAGACUCUCCUUCUGCUUUUCUAAUGUUUUAAAAUUGUAUGUUUUCCUUGGUUUAUGAAAUAUAGUUUUGACUUACAUUAAUUUAAAAGGCUUCUGAUUUUUCUGAAUAACUUUAAAAGAAGACUGGAAAGUGUCAUGAAAUUAAUACUGGUCCAUCUCAAGUUAGUCUUCUGAAAGGUGUACCAACUACUGGUAGUUGUUCAGUUUGGUUCAGUUCAGUCACUCAGUCGUGUCUGACUCUUUGCAACCCCAUGAACUGCAGCAUGCCAGCCCUGCCUGUCCAUCACCAAUUCCCGGAGUCCACCCAAACCCAUGUCCAUUGUGUCGGUGAUGCCAUCCAACCAUCUCAUCAUCUGUUGUCCCCUUCUCCUCCUGCCCUCAAUCUUUCCCAGCAUCAGGGUCUUUUCAAAUGAGUCAGCUCUCUGCAUCAGGUGGCCCAAAGUAUUGGAGUUUCAGCUUUAGCAUCAGUCCUUCCAAUGAACACUCAGGACUGAUCUUCCUUUAGGAUGGACUGGUUGGAUAUCCUUGCAUUCCAAGGGACUCUCAAGAGACUUCUCCAGCACCACAGUUCAAAAGCAUCAAUUCUUCAGUGCUAAGCCUUCUUUAUAGUCCAACUCUCACAUCCAUACAUGACUACUGGAAAGACCAUAGACUUGACUAGAUGGACCUUUGUUGGCAAAGUGAUAUCUCUGCUUUUUAAUAUGCUGUCUAGGUUGGUCAUAAGUUUUCUUCCAAGGAGUAAGUGUCUUUUAAUUUCACAGCUGCCAAUCACCAUCUGCAGUGAUUUUGGAGCCCCCAAAAUAAAGUCUUGACACUGUUUCCCCA